UCUGUAUCUACAACUUUGCUUCACGAUCCAGCGCAGUGACUGACAAGAGCCGAUACGUUUUUGAACAGGGACUACGUGCGCUGUCAUUGAACACUUUGUUGUUACAGUCUUCCUGCUCCCCACGCCAGCCCGACUCGUCCUCCGCACAGCAGCCAGAGGAUAUUUUAAAAACACGACUCAGCUCCUAACACUCCCCUGAACAGCUCCCUCUGAUGGCCUCCCACUGUGAGCAGGAAACAAAAUCCAAACGUUUGAAGUAAAAACGAAGAUGAAACACCAAGGAAAUGCGGGAUCCAGGCAGAGAGGGCAGCAGUGCAGAGCCUCCAGGGCCUACGGGAGGGGCCUAGUACCACUUUGCUGACUGUGGAGAUGCCUGCUCGGACAGGACAUGGCAGGAGGACAGCAGGCAUGAAGACGUUUGGGGACGUGGAUGAAUCUGGAGAACAUCAUCCUCAGGAAACUGACACAAGAACAGAAAAUGAAAUACCGCAUAUUCUCACUCUUAGGUGGGUGAUGAAAAAUGAGAACACAUGGA
rnacentral:lncRNA from 13 species